ACAAGGAACAGUGGACGCUGCCUUUAAAGCGUAAAGACCGGGCUCCUCCGCUGCGGAUGAUAGCGUGGUUAUUUUAAGUUUUUCUCCCACUCCACUUCUCCCUAUACUUCCCGCGUAAUUUACCACUACCACUGAGUGAAUAGAUUAAUUUAUACCAAAGGAAUUGCCGGACCUGACGUGGGAAUAGGCUUUGGAAACUUUGGCUUCUCGUGAGGGGAGUAUCGCGGCUGUUGCUCGAGCACGUAACAGGGAGCUAGACGGUUCUCUCUCGCGCUCUCCCAUAUUCAAAACUACCAGAGAGAAUCAGACUCACCAUCAACAAAGGAUAAACUUCAUGAUGAACUUUUAUGGAAAGGGGAAAACUAUUGCAGAUUAAAUUGUUGCCUUUGCCUACAUUGACAUUGUAUGUUUUAACUUGCUCCGAUGCAGGUGCAGUGAGAAUUUGAACUGCCUAUGAUUGAAUUCUGCUCUGCAAUCUGAAAAUUAUUUUUUCAAAGGAACACAGAUAGGUUCAAGCUGUUUUCUUGCAAUUCGUAAUAGAUAGAAAUUGGUUUGCCCCCUUGCAAUACAGAUUGAAACCCACGACUGUCAGUGAGUGUAUGCUACAAUUUUGUUCAAACAUAAAAAGCUAUAGUGUGUAUUUUUAUCCACAGGGGAAACGUUUAAAAUGAAAAAUACGUUGCUGAAUGACUGCGUUAUUGCAUAAGCCUACCGAUAAUUGCAUUUUGUUGGCAUUCUUUACGUCAUGUGUGUGACGGCAAAGCUUUAAAUUGACCCGCUUCACGUAUCGUUCCUUCUGAGCAGUUGGCGCUUGUUGGAUAGCUUGUUCUCGCUCGAGCGCCCGGAGAUUGCCCGGUUUCAGCGGCAACAGCGUUCACGGAGAGAGGACAGUAACAGCAUCCACACCGGCACACAGAGAACUCUGGGAAGACUUUGUCAGCACCACAGCAGUGCAACAUGUAUCCAGUGUGCCUGACACACGCGGCGCAUUUAGUCCGGCUGGGGACAAUGGUUGGGGAUUCGCCUGGAUUGAGGUGGCGUGCCACAUGGAUUUUAUUGUUUUCUCUGUUUGUCCACUACACAACAGCUCAAGGAUGUCGGUGGGCGGAGCCGGGAGGGUCGUCUGCGAAAUGGGACAUACCUGGGCUCGGGUGUGUCCCGGGAUAAAUACACGACUUCCCCAUUCUUCGGGGAGACUCUCUCCAUGCAGACACUGAUAGAUUUUGGUUGUGGCAUUUUUGUGGCCAUUUUGUUUGUUUGCAUUGGCACCUUUCAACACCCCUCAUUAUCACAUUUAUGCACGCAACCACUCACUUACACUACUGAUUACUGACUACACACACCAUUGUUAAUUGUAUUUAGUUUACUUCAGUUAAUAAAUAUAUUUUGUUAUUCCUCA